CCAAGAGUGGAAAUAACUCACCCAAAAUUUGUAAUGGCAGAAAUACCCAUAUAAAUAAAAUAAUAUUGUAGAAAAAUAUUUUCACGAAAAAUAAAAACCCAACAUUUAAGCCAUCAAUAUUACAAUUUGCAGCAUGUAAUGCCGAUAACUCAUCGUUGUCUCAAUAAGCUAGUGAGAAGUUCCUGAGGAUGCCAAAAUAUUGUUUUGCUCCUCUUGUGCGAAUAUGCCUAUAUCGUUCGAUUCCUGCCUCGAUCGCGAUAUCGUACUAUCCUAGAGAGCACCAAACCAGUUGCUAGAAGUGUUUCGAUGUCCAUGUUCCCACAACAAUAAGACUCUGGAGUGAAACAAUGGAAAUAUACGUAGAAACGAACGCAUAUUGCGAAAAGCUUCCUUGGUGACUAAUCACUAGAGUUGUUCUCCAAAUCAAAGGUUAUAAGAUCUGAAAGCUUAAAUUAGAGAAACCAUAUCUCUGACGACAUUCUUCGAAUGACAGUUGCAGUUUUGAGCCACACUUGAAAAUUAACGCCACAAUCGCCAAGCUUAUAACCUACGUUCAUACUUUCACCAAUACCAUGCUGAAAUACAACUCAAUCUUUAAAGCCGCUUGGAAUUUUUUCUUGGUAAGUCUGGUAAACUCGCAAGAAGAUUAUACUCCAAUGGUUACUACUAGCAUCGAUAUGAAACUGCUACACGCAUCUUCCGAGUCGACCUAUCGUGAAUUCCCCACUGAUUGAGUGAGACACCAUGUUGAGAAGGCUAAAAGAACACUCAAGGAUUUGAGAGUCAAAACAAGUUCAUCAAAUUUAAAGUUCAAAAUAUCUAGAUUGAUUGUCUACCAUCACAUUACAAAAACAACUUCCGGAAUAUUCAAUCACCAAUGGUAACGAUCCAUUCAACGGAGUAUUUGACGGGUGAUUGAAGAAUUAAUGAUCACAACUAGAUUUCAAUAUCCGAGCAAUUCUUCUGAACAGUCUACUUGUCUUCGAAAUAAUACGAACUGCAGUACAGUAGACACGUACCCAAAGUUGACUAGAAUGUAUUUCCAGCACAAAUGAGUGAAUAUGGAGUCAUAGUUAUAAAAGAUGUUGAUCAAAAUACCAGAAAAUCUGAUAAAUUCAAGAAUGGGUAAUUUUACCAAGUGGUCUAAACUGUAGUCCCUCUGAACCAAUGAAAAAUGGGUUGACUUGUCAAAUCGAUCUAUAAACAUCGAAACAUCAUCAUAAUCUCCACAUGUACAAGAUACCUCAUACUAGGAGUUUAUGGUGAUAUUUCCCAUUUGCAUUUAGAUACAAAAAGUGAUUUAACCAUUCAAACGAUUUCUUGAUGGGGUAGAGGUAACAUCACAUCGAUACUCGUGAACUUCAACUGGAAUGGGAUAAGGAAGACUUAAAAUGUUUAAGGGUAGGACCAACUCUUACUACGGUGCUUAAUAAUUACGUUUGCAUAACUAGGAUGAUUCACAAUAGUGCAAUCAUAGACGUUGAUUUAGUUCUUCCAAUGUUGCUGUCAGAAACUUAGCUCUUUGCAACAGUAAGUGAAAUUGGGAAGUUUUAACGUUAAUAAAGAUUUUGGACAUAUUUCUUCACAGAGAAGUACCAUUUGGUUUUCAGAUGAAAAUGACAACUGUUGACUCUAGGUCAUAUGUAUGAUGGUUCAUUUUGAACAGUUAUACCGUUAGGAAAUGUAAGCGAUACUCCAUCAUACUACCUCUACACAAUUGAAAUAUCCAAGGAACACGUCAUCAUGGAUUUCCAAAAUGAUCAAUGUCAUCAAAAAGUGUAAAGUGAUGGUAAGGUGAGAACAACAGUUCGGUUGUCAUAAACUUUAUCCAUAAUUAACACCCCAAGCUUAACUAACUUAUAUUGGUCGAUAAGUGAGGAAAAACACUAUAGCCGAAAAUCGCUAACCAAUUGUCAAUAAACUCGACAAGACUAAGGAUAUCCUAAAUCUCACAACACUUUGUGAGAAUUUCAACAUUUUUCCUCUAAAACCUUUUUUGGAAGAAGGAAAGAAUAUUGUCCGUGAAGAUCACGUCUCCCGAGAUAAGUACCAAUCUAAACAAAACUAAUGUUUGAGAAAUUUGGUCUCAUUGCUGAAACAUAUGAGAAAAUCGUUGAAAAGACUACUACGAAGUCGCCAGGUUAUUGAAGAAAACUCGAGUUACAAAGGGUGGGUUGGCUAGAUCAUCAACUCGAAGUAGGGGACAACAGUUUGUAGUUGUCACCCGAGGAAGUUGCUAAAAUCUAGGUAUGAUCCUAAGGUUCGAAGUUCCUGGCUAAAGGGCUUGGUUGAAUAAAUUCCUAAUCGGUAAGCUUUAGUAACUAAGUUCUUCCAAACGGUAGGAGUUGCUCGAAAAGACGCAAGGAAACUAGUGUAGUAUGAGAAUGUGGAUCGAUGAUAAUAUCUCAGGUAAGACUUUGGAAUAUAACGCCUGAAUGUACGUCCUCAA
rnacentral:lncRNA from 1 species